rnacentral:rRNA from 1 species
GAAGUCUUAGUGGCGCAGCUAACGCACUAAGUAGACCGCCUGGGGAGUACGGCCGCAAGGUUAAAACUCAAAUGAAUUGACGGGGGCCCGCACAAGCGGUGGAGCAUGUGGUUUAAUUCGACGCAACGCGAAGAACCUUACCUGGCCUUGACAUGCAGAGAACUUUCCAGAGAUGGAUUGGUGCCUUCGGGAACUCUGACACAGGUGCUGCAUGGCCGUCGUCAGCUCGUGUCGUGAGAUGUUGGGUUAAGUCCCGUAACGAGCGCAACCCCUAUCCCUAGUUGCUAGCAGUUCGGCUGAGAACUCUAGGGAGACUGCCGGUGACAAACCGGAGGAAGGCGGGGAUGACGUCAGGUCAUCAUGGCCCUUACGGCCAGGGCUACACACGUGCUACAAUGGUGCGUACAGAGGGCUGCAAACCCGCGAGGGGGAGCUAAUCUCACAAAACGCAUCGUAGUCCGGAUCGGAGUCUGCAACUCGACUCCGUGAAGUCGGAAUCGCUAGUAAUCGCGAAUCAGAAUGUCGCGGUGAAUACGUUCCCGGGCCUUGUACACACCGCCCGUCACACCAUGGGAGUGGAUUGCACCAGAAGUGGUUAGUCUAACCUUCGGGAGGA